CCUACGGGAGGCUGCAGUGAGGAAUAUUGGUCAAUGGCCGGAAGGCUGAACCAGCCAUGCCGCGUGAAGGUCAGUGCCUCAUGGGCGUUAAACUUCUUUUGUGCGGGAGCAAUAAUGGUCACGUGUGGCCAGACGAGAGUACCGUACGAAUAAGCAUCGGCUAACUCCGUGCAAGCAGCCGCGGUCAUACGGGGGAUGCAAGCGUUAUCCGGAUUUAAUGGGUUUAAAGGGUGCGUAGGCUGUGAGGUAAGUCAGCGGGGAAAUGCCCCCGCUCAACGGGGUGAAGUGCCAUUGAUACUGCCUUGCUGGAAUGCAGAUGCGGUGAGAGGAAUGUGUGGUGUAGCGGUGAAAUGCGUAGAUAU
rnacentral:rRNA from 1 species